rnacentral:sRNA from 1 species
UGAAAAUAUACCAUAUUAAUUUUCUCUCUUCCAUAAUGAGACUUUCUUUUUUUUUUCCAUUCACUCAUAAUGCAUUUCUUUUCACCUAACAACUUUGAAAUGUUGACUCCACUCAAAACUUCUACCCAAUGAAACCAAAUGGGACAACUUACAAAAGUAGAAAUAAUGGUGUGGUGAUCAUUAAGCAUAGACUAAGGGGUAGUGGUUUCUUUGUGGUAGGAACCACCAAACACUAAGAUAGGCUGCUGAUUUCAAGGUUAAAUGCAUGGUUUCUUACCUUAAUAAAACUUAAGAACACAAACUAAAACUUAGGAGAGAUUGUUGUUGGAAGUAAGCAAAGGAGGAAGCUUGAGAUUUAAAGCAUCAAGAGUUGGAAAAUCUUCAUUGGAAAGAGAAACUAUAUCAGAUGAAUUAGCAGAUGGUUCUGGACUUGCUUAGAAGAUGAGAGAUCUGUGGGGGAAAAGAAGACAUGGGGAAUUUCUAAAAUAAAUCUGUGUUUGAAUUUCCGAACUGUGAGAAAUUUUAAUUUUUAGAAGUUUAUGAACUGUGUGGACUUUUAUUUUCAGAAGACUUGUACUGUAAUAAAGAACUUAAUAUUUUA